rnacentral:miRNA from 1 species
GAAUGCUCAGCUAAAUCUGAAUUUCUGCUCAACAAUGAAUAAUUUUUUAGUAUAAGUAUGUCCCGUGCACUCUUUGAGACAUACUUAUACUAAAAAUAUAUUUUAAAAAAUCCAAAUAUAACCUGGUGUC